rnacentral:rRNA from 1 species
AGUGAACGCUGGCGGUAGGCCUAACACAUGCAAGUCGAACGGCAGCACAGUAAGAGCUUGCUCUUACGGGUGGCGAGUGGCGGACGGGUGAGGAAUACAUCGGAAUCUACUUUUUCGUGGGGGAUAACGUAGGGAAACUUACGCUAAUACCGCAUACGACCUACGGGUGAAAGCAGGGGAUCUUCGGACCUUGCGCGAUUGAAUGAGCCGAUGUCGGAUUAGCUAGUUGGCGGGGUAAAGGCCCACCAAGGCGACGAUCCGUAGCUGGUCUGAGAGGAUGAUCAGCCACACUGGAACUGAGACACGGUCCAGACUCCUACGGGGGGCAGCAGUGGGGAAUAUUGGACAAUGGGCGCAAGCCUGAUCCAGCCAUACCGCGCGGGUGAAGAAGGCCUUCGGGUUGUAAAGCCCUUUUGUUGGGAAAGAAAAGCAGCAGGUUAAUACCCCGCUGUUCUGACGGUACCCAAAGAAUAAGCACCGGCUAACUUCGUG